GAUGAACGCUGGCGGCGUGCCUAAUACAUGCAAGUCGAGCGAACGGACGAGAAGCUUGCUUCUCUGAUGUUAGCGGCGGACGGGUGAGUAACACGUGGAUAACCUACCUAUAAGACUGGGAUAACUUCGGGAAACCGGAGCUAAUACCGGAUGAUAUUUUGAACCGCAUGGUUCAAAAGUGAAAGACGGUCUUGCUGUCACUUAUAGAUGGAUCCGCGCUGCAUUAGCUAGUUGGUAAGGUAACGGCUUACCAAGGCAACGAUGCAUAGCCGACCUGAGAGGGUGAUCGGCCACACUGGAACUGAGACACGGUCCAGACUCCUACGGGAGGCAGCAGUAGGGAAUCUUCCGCAAUGGGCGAAAGCCUGACGGAGCAACGCCGCGUGAGUGAUGAAGGUCUUCGGAUCGUAAAACUCUGUUAUUAGGGAAGAACAGAUGUGUAAGUAACUGUGCACAUCUUGACGGUACCUAAUCAGAAAGCAACGGCUAACUACGUG
rnacentral:rRNA from 1 species